rnacentral:rRNA from 1 species
ACUACGGGAGGCAGCAGUGAGGAAUAUUGGUCAAUGGGCGGAAGCCUGAACCAGCCAAGUAGCGUGCAGGAUGACGGCCCUACGGGUUGUAAACUGCUUUUAUACGGGAAUAACGCGCCUUACGUGUAGGGCUUUGCAUGUACCGUAUGAAUAAGGAACGGCUAAUUCCGUGCCAGCAGCCGCGGUAAUACGGAAGGUCCGGGCUUUAUCCGGAUUUAUUGGGUUUAAAGGGAGCGUAGGCCGCAUGUCAAGCGUGCUGUGAAAUGUCCGGGCUCAACCCGGGCCGUGCAGCGCGAACUGGCGUGCUUGAGUCCGCGGAAGGCAGGCGGAAUUCGUCGUGUAGCGGUGAAAUGCUUAGAUAUGACGAAGAACCCCGAUUGCGAAGGCAGCUUGCUGCAGCGGAACUGACGCUGAUGCUCGAAAGCGCGGGUAUCGAACAGGAUUAGAUACCCGGGUAGUC